AGAUUCCCCUAGUAACUGCGAGUGAAGAGGGAAGAGCUCAAAUUUAAAAUCUGGCSGUCUCUGGCUGUCCGAGUUGUAAAUUAGAGAAGUGUUAUCCGCUCAAGCCUGUGCAAAAGUCUCUUGGAAAAGGGCAUCAUAGAGGGUGACAAUCCCGUCUUUGGCACAGAUCACUUGCGCUUUUGUGAUGCGCUCUCGAUGAGUCGAGUUGUUUGGGAAUGCAGCUCUAAAUGGGUGGUAAAUUCCAUCUAAAGCUAAAUAUGGGCGAGAAACCGAUAGCGAACAAGUACCGUGAGGGAAAGAUGAAAAGCACUUUGAAAAGAGAGUCAAACAGUAUGUGAAAUUGUUGAAAGGGAAACGCUUGAAGUCAGUCGUAUCCUUCAGAAAUCAACCUGACCUUUGGCUGGGUGCAUUUUUUGUUGGAUGGGUCAGCAUCAAUUUUGAUCAUUGGAUAAAGGACUUGGGAAUGUGGCAUCUUUGGAUGUGUUAUAGCCUCUGUUUGUAUACAAUGAUUGGGAUUGAGGAACUCAGUGUGACUUUGGUUUGGAGGUAUUGCACCUCACACACGCACUUAGGAUGCUGGCAUAAUGGCUUUAAUCGACCCGUCUUGAAACACGGACCAAGGAGUCUAACAUGCAUGCGAGUGUUUGGGUGGAAAACUCAAGCGCGCAAUGAAAGUGAAAGUUGAGAACCCCUUUGGGGUGCAUCGACGCCCGGACUUGAUCUUUUGUGACGGACCUGCGGUAGAGCAUGUAUGUUGGGACCCGAAAGAUGGUGAACUAUGCCUGAAUAGGGUGAAGUCAGAGGAAACUCUGAUGGAAGCUCGUAGCGAUUCUGACGUGCAAAUCGAUCGUCAAUUUGGGUAUAGGGGCGAAGACUAAUCGAACCAUCUAGUAGCUG
rnacentral:rRNA from 1 species